CUUUUUAAAUAGCAUUAGACCCCUCUAUACUCUUGGUAUCUUCAAGUGUCAGCUGAGUCCAAUUGCAGGUCCCAAACUCCCUUUGACCCCCUUCUUUACCCUUAAAAGACAGUAAGGUCAGGGCAUCUCAAAGUCAACCCCCUCACCCAUUUUAAGGGGUGGUCCCAUCCCACCAACUCUG